CAACUACUCCCUUUGUCCCAAAUUUCUUGUCUUAGAUUUGUCUAGAUACGGAUGUAUCUGUGACUUGAUACAUCCGUAUCUAGACAAAUAUAAGACAAGAAUUUUGGGACAGAGGGAGUACUUU
rnacentral:pre_miRNA from 1 species